CUCGUAGGCGGUUCGUCGCGUCCGGUGUGAAAGUCCAUCGCUUAACGGUGGAUCCGCGCCGGGUACGGGCGGGCUUGAGUGCGGUAGGGGGGACUGGAAUUCCCGGUGUAACGGUGGAAUGUGUAGAUAUCGGGAAGAACACCAAUGGCGAAGGCAGGCCUCUGGGCCGUCACUGACGCUGAGGAGCGAAAGCGUGGGGAGCGAACA
rnacentral:rRNA from 1 species